CAUAAAGUCUUUACUACUGACAGGAGGGCUCUGUGUGAAACGACAGAGGGCCUGUUCCCCCAACACUAGAAUAAAGGACUACUAGAAGAAUACACCGGAGAGGGGGAAGAAAAAAUGUAUUAUAAGGGAAAGAUGGAGCGUUGAUCCUGUUUCUCUUUCUUGCGUUCUCUCUUAUUUUUCAUAUCGGUCUCUCACUAAUGCACAUACAACUGCAGUAGUGCUCCCCAUCAUGGCCUUAGCGUUCUCAUCACCACGAGGGACUUUUCUCACAACCCCUUAAUCUCUCAGCCUACCUCACCUCUAUCCCCAGCCUUACCUGUGAACAUCACACACACCACAAUGGACAAUAAACCCACCCUUGCCUCUAACCCAGCCUACCUCAUCAGUCCAGAGGUACCUUCAACCAUGCCUGCCUCUCCCCAGUCACCUGAUUGCUGCUUCUGCUAUUGUGUCUUAAUAUUUCACUGCUGCUCGUGUGCGUGUGUGCGCCUAUGUGCGUGUGUGCGCCUAUGUGCGUGUGUGCGCACCUAUGUGCGUGUGUCCGGAAACUGUCUCCUGACUUCUACUUUGGUGUUUUUCCACCUGAUGCCUAAUACUUUACCCAUGGUGCUUCACCACACCAAAUUGCUCGUCAAGGACGUGUCCACUGGGCGCCUCAAGAUACAUGUGCUUCUGCCUGUCUGUCUUUCUGUAGUGUGUUGUUGAGCAAAGUAACAUAUUUCGGCAUGUCUAUCAGGGAUUGGUUUUGUCAAUUGCAUUGUAACCAAUUACAUUAUGCAGUUCCCAUGUUUCCAGUACCAUGUAAAAAUGUUGGCUUACAGUAAAAAAAAUGUACGGUGCUUAUGUGUGUAAAGGUGGACUGAAAUACUCUGCGUGUGGAUUCAGACACUCAAAUUCCCUUCUGUGCCUGCUUGUUUGACUGACUGUGUUUCAGUUGCCUCCUCAUUCUCACUCACCUUCAGUCACCUAAGCUCUUGGCCUUAACCCUGGUCCUGGAGUGACCAGGUGUUGCAGGGUUUAGUUCCAACCAGGCACCAUAUCUCUUAUCACCUCUCCAAUUGAGUUAAUUGAUCAAUAUCUGAUUGGCUAUAUUUCACCUUCAUGUCUCCUAGGUGUGAAGCAAAAAAAAUGUCAACUCAAAAACCUGCAGCAUUCCAAGACCUGGGUUUUCUACCCCCACACUAGGGAAUUGGAACAAUAGCUUACUCUGUAUUCGGGAUGAGGGACAUGUUGUACCUAGUUCCGCUUGCUCUCUCUCUGUACAUAUCACAGCUUUCCUAUAGGAGAAGAAAAUAAAAGAUGGAGCACUUUAACUGUGGUUAGCUCUGUCUGAAUGUGUAUAGAUGUCAAGUACAGUUGUAGAGUUAUGCAAGAAUUGAAAUAAAGCUUUUUGUAUGAAAUGUGUUUGGGAUCAUUGGUUGGGGUGUGUCUGGGUAGAGAUACUGUGGAUAUAAUGAUGAGAUGCUUGUGUCUCUGCUCUAACAAUGGGA
rnacentral:lncRNA from 1 species